rnacentral:rRNA from 1 species
UACGGGGGGGGCAAGCGUUGUUCGGAAUUACUGGGCGUAAAGGGCUCGUAGGCGGCCAACUAAGUCGGACGUGAAAUCCCCAGGCUCAACCUGGGAACUGCGUCCGAUACUGGAUGGCUUGAGUUUGGGAGAGGGAUGCGGAAUUCCAGGUGUAGCGGUGAAAUGCGUAGAUAUCAGGAGGAACACCGGUGGCGAAGGCGGGUCUCUGGGCCGAUACUGACGCUGAGGAGCGAAAGCGUGGGGAGCGAACAGG